ensembl:misc_RNA Metazoa_SRP Metazoan signal recognition particle RNA
GCCGGGCGCGGUGGCGCGUGCCUGUAGUUCCAGCUACUCGGGAGGCUGAGGUGGGAGGACUGCUGGAACCCAGGAGUUCUCGGCUGUGGUGCGCUAUGCUGAUCGGGUGUCCCCACCAAGUUUGGCAUCAACAUGGUGACCUCCCGGAAGCAGGGGACCACCAGGUUGUCUAAGGAGGGGUGAACUGGCCCAGGUCGGAAACGGAGCCGGUCAAAACCCCCGUGCUGAUCAGUAGUGGGAUCGCACCUGUGAAUAGCCAGCCUGGGCAACAUAGCGAGACCCCGUCUCUU